rnacentral:pre_miRNA from 1 species
UUAUCUUCACAUGACUACGUCACCCAAACAAAAGCACUGUCUUGAGCUCUGAAUGCAGUUAGUGCUACUUGUUGGGGUAGUUUUGAUGC